rnacentral:rRNA from 1 species
AUUGAACGCUGGCGGCAGGCCUAACACAUGCAAGUCGAACGGUAGCACAGGAGAGCUUGCUCUCUGGGUGACGAGUGGCGGACGGGUGAGUAAUGCAUGGGGAGCUGCCCAAUCGAGGGGGAUACCAGCUGGAAACGGCUGCUAAUACCGCAUACGCCCUGAGGGGGAAAGGUGGGGACCUUCGGGCCUACCGCGAUUGGAUGCACCCAUGUGGGAUUAGCUGGUUGGUGAGGUAACGGCUCACCAAGGCGACGAUCUCUAGCUGGUCUGAGAGGAUGACCAGCCACACUGGAACUGAGACACGGUCCAGACUCCUACGGGAGGCAGCAGUGGGGAAUAUUGCACAAUGGGGGAAACCCUGAUGCAGCCAUGCCGCGUGUGUGAAGAAGGCCUUCGGGUUGUAAAGCACUUUCAGUGGGGAGGAAGGGGCGAUGCCUAAUACGCAUUGUCGUUGACGUUACCCACAGAAGGAGCACCGGCUAACUCCGUGCCAGCAGCCGCAGUAACAC